rnacentral:rRNA from 1 species
AGAGUUUGAUCAUGGCUCAGGAUGAACGCUAGCGACAGGCCUAACACAUGCAAGUCGAGGGAAAGGGUAGCAAUACCUGAAACCGGCGCACGGGUGAGUAACGCGUAUGUAACCUGCCUACAACAGGGGGAUAGCUUUCGGAAACGGAAAUUAAUACCGCAUAAGACCACGCUCUCGCAUGGGAGUGUAGUAAAAUUUACGGAGGUUGUAGAUGGGCAUGCGUGACAUUAGCUAGUUGGUAAGGUAACGGCUUACCAAGGCAACGAUGUCUAGGGGUUCUGAGAGGAAGGUCCCCCACACUGGUACUGAGACACGGACCAGACUCCUACGGGAGGCAGCAGUGAGGAAUAUUGGUCAAUGGACGCAAGUCUGAACCAGCCAUGUCGCGUGCAGGAUGACGGCCCUAUGGGUUGUAAACUGCUUUUGUACGGGAAGAAAAAAGAUUACGUGUAAUCUAUUGCCGGUACCGUACGAAUAAGGAUCGGCUAACUCCGUGCCAGCAGCCGCGGUAAUACGGAGGAUCCGAGCGUUAUCCGGAUUUAUUGGGUUUAAAGGGUGCGUAGGCGGGUUAUUAAGUCAGUGGUGAAAGUUUGACGCUCAACGUUAAAAUUGCCAUUGAUACUGAUAGUCUUGAGUACAGUUGAGGUAGGCGGAAUGUGGUGUGUAGCGGUGAAAUGCAUAGAUAUACCCACAGAACACC